UACGAAGGGGGCUAGCGUUGUUCGGAAUUACUGGGCGUAAAGGGCGCGUAGGCGGCGUGUCAAGUCAGGUGUGAAACCUCCAGGCUCAACCUGGAGACGCCACUUGAUACUGCUGUGACUGGAGUCCGGUAGGGGAGCGUGGAAUUCCUGGUGUAGCGGUGAAAUGCGCAGAUAUCAGGAGGAACACUGGUGGCGAAGGCGGGUCUCUGGGCCGAUACUGACGCUGAGGAGCGAAAGCGUGGGGAGCGAACAGG
rnacentral:rRNA from 1 species